UACGUAGGGAGCGAGCGUUGUCCGGAAUCAUUGGGCGUAAAGCGCGCGUAGGUGGCCUCGUAAGUCCGCUGUGAAAGUCAAAGGCUCAACCUUUGAAAGCCGGUGGAUACUGUGAGGCUAGAGUACGGAAGAGGCGAGUGGAAUUCCUGGUGUAGCGGUGGAAUGCGCAGAUAUCAGGAGGAACACCAAUAGCGAAGGCAGCUCGCUGGGACGUUACUGACACUGAGGCGCGAAAGCGUGGGGAGCGAACAGG
rnacentral:rRNA from 1 species